rnacentral:rRNA from 1 species
UGACGGUACCCGCAGAAUAAGCCCCGGCUAACUUCGUGCCAGCAGCCGCGGUAAUACGAAGGGGGCUAGCGUUGUUCGGAAUCACUGGGCGUAAAGCGUACGCAGGCGGAUUGAUAAGUCAGGGGUGAAAUCCCGGGGCUCAACCUCGGAAUUGCCUUUGAUACUGUCUGUCUCGAGUUCGGGAGAGGUUGGCGGAAUUCCUAGUGUAGAGGUGAAAUUCGUAGAUAUUAGGAAGAACACCAGUGGCGAAGGCGGCCAACUGGCCCGAUACUGACGCUCAUGUACGAAAGCGUGGGGAGCAAACAGGAUUAGAUACCCUGGUAGUCCACGCUGUAAACUAUGGAUGCUAGCCGUUGGGGAGCUUGCUCUUCAGUGGCGCAGCUAACGUCUUAAGCAUCCCGCCUGGGGAGUACGGUCGCAGAUUAAAACUCAAAGGAAUU